GACGAAGGUGGCGAGCGUUGUUCGGAAUCACUGGGCAUAAAGCGCACGUAGGCGGUGUCGUCAGUCGGGUGUGAAAUCCCUCGGCCUAACCGAGGAACUGCGCCCGAUACUGCGAUGCUUGAGGACCAGAGGGGUGCAUGGAAUUUCCGGUGGAGCGGUGAAAUGCGUUGAUAUCGGAAGGAACUCCGGCGGCGAAAGCGAUGCACUGGCUGGUUUCUGACGCUGAGGUGCGAAAGCCAGGGGAGCAAACGGG
rnacentral:rRNA from 1 species